rnacentral:tRNA from 1 species
CGGGGCGUAGCGCAGUCCGGUUAGCGCGCCACGUUCGGGACGUGGAGGCCCCCGGUUCGAAUCCGGGCGCCCCGACCA